rnacentral:rRNA from 1 species
AUGUGCUGUCCGAUCCGUGCGCGUCUAGCCCCGUUGCCUGUUUGGUGCCCUCCCCGCUGUCUGAUCGGGCCCAGAUGCUCCUCACCGAACCAGCAGUCUCAGGGGUCCAUGACGCAUGGCCUUGGGGCGCGCACAGGGCCGCCUCAUCUACCGGGUGUUGCCCUUUGCCCUGCCUGUGCCGUUCGUGCACUUGUGUGGGGGCGCCUCAUGUUUGGGCCACUGGGUAAAGGCGGUCGUCGUGCGUGGAGCUUGUCCGGCUGUACAGGCGUGUGCCGGCUCAUGCGCUGGUGUGUGUGUCUGAUGUUUGGGCCACCGAGCAGAGAUGUCCCUCUUCACCCGGCUAUCCCGCCCAACACCCGGAUGGUUGUUCGGGCAGGCGUGUUGGGAGACUUUGCGGAGCCGGCAUCUUACCGGGCGGAUAUGGUAGGUUUGCUCCUUUGGUUUGUGCCCGUCUGUUCCAUUUUGGUGUGCUUGCUCUCUUCCUGCCUAUCCGGCCGUGGCCACAUGGAGUUGUGUUCGUUCCGUCCGACUGGUCCUAUCUGGCCAGUGUCCACGUGGAGUUGUUCGGCCCGUGCUAGUGGCAGCAAUGAGGGUUGUUCAUUCGCCUUUGUGCUGCGAUUGUCUUUAUCUUGUCUCCUUCUGUAUUUGGUUUUCCUCUCCUUUCUAUAUCCCUUCGCCACCGCCGCCUUACGCUUCACCAUGCCCGUCCCUCGCUUUGGUCCGCUAGAGGUCUUACGAGCUACUUGUCGUUGUUGGGUGCCUAUAUUGUUGAUUGAGCUCGAGGAUGGUCGCACUCUUGCUGCUACAACAUCCAGAAGGAGUCCAUCCUUCCAUACUGCCUCCCGGCAACAUGGUGGUAUGCUGAUCUUUGUCAAGACACUCACCGACAAGACUAUCAAUCUUGAGGAAGAGUCCUCUAACAACAUUGGCAAUGUCAUGGCAAAGAUUGCCGUGGAAGAGCAUUGCCUCUCGGCAACGGCUCCCUCAGCGCCAACACCCCGCCAACAGCUUCCGCCCAGCGACGACCAAUCAGCGUCUAACUGGCGCAGGGCUACAGCGAAGAGGCUAAGCAUAGGUCUGUUGCGGUCCACGGCGGUGCAUGGCGAGCUGUCAAGUGGAGCGCGCGCCUCCAAAGUGUUAGGUGCACCCAAGGUGAUUCACUGCCCCCUUUUACCGUGCGGGCGACACCUCAUCAGCAACGUGUCGCGGUAA